AUACGUAGGGGGCGAGCGUUGUCCGGAAUUACUGGGCGUAAAGCGCGCGUAGGCGGUUUGUUAAGUGAGGUGUGAAAUCCCCGGGCUCAACCUGGGAAUUGCAUUUCAAACUGGCAGGCUAGAGUGUAGUAGAGGGAGGUGGAAUUUCCUGUGUAGCGGUGAAAUGCGUAGAUAUAGGAAGGAACACCAGUGGCGAAGGCGGCCUCCUGGACUAACACUGACGCUGAGGUGCGAAAGCGUGGGGAGCAAACAGGAUUAGAAACCCCAGUAGUCC
rnacentral:rRNA from 1 species